AUGAACGCUGGCGGCGUGCCUAAUACAUGCAAGUCGAGCGAACAGACGAGGAGCUUGCUCCUCUGACGUUAGCGGCGGACGGGUGAGUAACACGUGGAUAACCUACCUAUAAGACUGGGAUAACUUCGGGAAACCGGAGCUAAUACCGGAUAAUAUAUUGAACCGCAUGGUUCAAUAGUUAAAGACGGUUUUGCUGUCACUUAUAGAUGGAUCCGCGCCGCAUUAGCUAGUUGGUAAGGUAACGGCUUACCAAGGCAACGAUGCGUAGCCGACCUGAGAGGGUGAUCGGCCACACUGGAACUGAGACACGGUCCAGACUCCUACGGGAGGCAGCAGUAGGGAAUCUUCCGCAAUGGGCGAAAGCUUGACGGAGCAACGCCGCGUGAGUGAUGAAGGUCUUCGGAUCGUAAAACUCUGUUAUUAGGGAAGAACAAAUGUGUAAGUAACUAUGCACGUCUUGACGGUACCUAAUCAGAAAGCCACGGCUAACUACGUG
rnacentral:rRNA from 1 species